rnacentral:lncRNA from 1 species
CGAGGGUACAGAAUGGAUCCCAGAGGAGGGGGUCGCUGCUGGGUCUUCAAGAGAGCCCCCUGUAGAGCUCUACAGCCUUUCGUCUCCUGAUCU